ensembl:lncRNA
CAAGAUGUUAGAGGAAGACUUCCUAGCUGUGGGCAUGAAACUGUAUUCUAGCUCAAUAAAUCUCAAAACACUAAUGAGGGUUCUAUUUUUAGGACAAUGAAGCAUGAAAACUAAGGCUUUUACUGGCAUGGGGAAGGAAUAAGCUGGCUGUUGGAAAGAUUCAGUUCUGCAUCAAGCUAUCCCUGAAGCUUUUACUACCAAUAAGACAAGGCAUGCAGUCUUGCAUUUUUUGAGGCAGAAACAGAGCAAUUGAGCCUUCAUUCAACUCCUUGCUGCAGAGGGGGGUGCUCAAGAUGGAAUGACAGCUCUGUGAAGCAACAAAUCAUCAAAAGGACAUCAAUGAUUUUUUUUCUUUUCUCUGCAAUGAGAAAGGAUUGUGUUCACUGUCUACAGACCUUCCUCUGCUAGGAAAAACUUAGUGAUUCACACCAUUAAGCUCUCUAGUUUGUCCUAUCUACUGCAAAGCAGCUAACAGCUGAGAGAAGUGAGACUGACAGUAUUGAGUCUGUCUAUCUCAAGUACUCAGAAUUGUGAGUCACAGUCCAAUGUCCUGAGCUUUAGAGAACAAUCUGAGGGAUCCUAUUACUUGCCUUCUGGUCUUCGAGACUUAAAUAGUUUCAUGCUUCUCUCUGCAAAACCAGAGAAGCUUGAAGAGUAAAUAAAUAAAAUACAAAUAUAAGUUGUGAAUAUAUU